AACGAACGCUGGCGGCAUGCCUAACACAUGCAAGUCGAACGAGACCUUCGGGUCUAGUGGCGCACGGGUUCGUAACGCGUGGGAACCUUCCCUUAGGUUCGGAAUAACUCUCCGAAAGGGGUGCUAAUACCGGAUAAUGUCUUCUGACCGAAGAUUUAUCGCCUUUGGAUGUGCCCGCGUUGGAUUCGCUCGUUGGUAGGGUAAAAGCCUACCAAGGCGACGAUCCAUAAAUGGUCUGAGAGGAUGAUCAGCCACACUGGGAGUGAGACACGGCCCAGACUCCUACGGGAGGCAGCAGUGGGGAAUAUUGGAAAAUGGGCGAAAGCAUGAUCCAGCAAUGACGCGUGAGUGAUGAAGGCCUUAGGGUUGUAAAGCUCUUUUACCCGGGAUGAUAAUGACAGUACCGGGAGAAUAAGCUACGGCUAACUCCGUG
rnacentral:rRNA from 1 species